rnacentral:rRNA from 1 species
GUGGGGAAUAUUGGACAAUGGGCGAAAGCCUGAUCCAGCCAUGCCGCGUGUGUGAAGAAGGUCUUCGGAUUGUAAAGCACUUUAAGUUGGGAGGAAGGGCAGUAAGUUAAUACCUUGCUGUUUUGACGUUACCAACAGAAUAAGCACCGGCUAACUUCGUGCCAGCAGCCGCGGUAAUACGUAGGGUGCGAGCGUUAAUCGGAAUUACUGGGCGUAAAGCGUGCGCAGGCGGUGCUGUAAGACAGGCGUGAAAUCCCCGGGCUCAACCUGGGAAUUGCGCUUGUGACUGCAGUGCUGGAGUGCGGCAGAGGGGGAUGGAAUUCCGCGUGUAGCAGUGAAAUGUGUAGAUAUAGGAAGGAACACCAGUGGCGAAGGCGACUACCUGGACUGAUACUGACACUGAGGUGCGAAAGCGUGGGGAGCAAACAGGAUUAGAUACCCGUGUAGUCC